rnacentral:rRNA from 1 species
UACGUAGGUGGCGAGCGUUGUCCGGAAUUACUGGGUGUAAAGGAUGCGUAGGCGGAUAUAUAAGUCAGAUGUGAAACCCCCGGGCUUAACCCGGGGCAUGCAUUUGAGACUGUAUAUCUGGAGUGCAGGAGAGGAAAGCGGAAUUCCUAGUGUAGCGGUGAAAUGCGUAGAGAUUAGGAAGAACACCAGUGGCGAAGGCGGCUUUCUGGACUGUAACUGACGCUGAGGCAUGAAAGCGUGGGGAGCAAACAGG